rnacentral:tRNA from 1 species
GGCGGUGUAGCUCAGGUGGUCAGAGCACGCGGCUCAUACCCGCGGUGUCAGAGGUUCGACUCCUCUCACCGCCACCA